AAGUCGUAACAAGGUUUCCGUAGGUGAACCUGCGGAAGGAUCAUUAACACGUUAUCCACGUAUCACCAACGUGAACCGUUAAUUUCUACCUCUGUGCAGAAUGAGCAGCAACAAGAUAGGGUAGUGGAAGGGUCUUGACGCAAGUCGACCAGCUCUAUUUGUUAUUCGCGGCCGCAAGGCUUCGUACUGUUGUAUCUGUUUCGGGAGGCAUCUCUGGGCGAACAAGUCUCCUUCCAUGAAGUGGGCGCCUGGAAACUUAUUAUAACAAUUCUAACCCCUUUUUGCUAGUUGACUUUGAAAUGUUGUUCUCUUCUGCUCUCGGGCAGGGAAAGCACACGUUUAAUUAUUUGAACGUUAAAAAUACAACUCUUAGCAAUGGAUAUCUAGGUUCUC
rnacentral:misc_RNA from 1 species